GGUUCCUUAGCUCAGUUGGUUAGAGCGUGGUGCUAAUAGACUUCAUUGAGAGGUACAGUUAACGCCAAGGUCGUGGGUUCGACCCCCAUAGGGACCA